UUCACGCGCUCACGCGGCACGAGAAGGAAAGUGCUUGCUGGAAAUACAGUCCGUUCGAUGAGAGUGUUGGAACGAUUUCUUCGCCUACGUACGAUGAGCCGACAGUUGUUUCACCGUCAGGACCCACAAUGGUGAGAAAGGUGUGGCGUCGAGCCAGAGUUUGUUUCACCAUCGAGACCCACAGGAAGGUUGCUUGUGGACGAGCCGACGUUUGUUUUACCGUCGGGAUCCACAAGAGGAAGAUAUAUUGGCGCUAUGCGUUCGUAUAUUAGAAGAACUGAUCUUUCAAAUGUUUUAAACUAGAAUUAGAUGUCAGGAAUACAAAUUGCAGAAUGAGAUGAAGACCGAGGUUCCCGCUCGGAUACAUUUCAAGCAUUCAUUACAAUGCUCAAUUUAUUAUAUCUUGGUCGAUUUAUCACGUUAAUACAAUUAAAUAUUAUGUACGUUAGAACACAUUCCCACAUUAUCAUAGUAACUCUAACAUUAGAUAGAUCGUUUAGUUGUUUCAUUAUCCCGUCUUGAAUAAAAGUGUCCCAUUUACGGAAGUGAUUCCUCACGUUACAUGAAAUAGUAAUUAACUCGUGUUAAAUGUUGCUCGUACAGAUAAAAAGAAAUCAGAAAAAAA